rnacentral:lncRNA from 1 species
UGGUGAUUUAUUCUUGUUGGGAGUUUUAGGAGCUGCUGGCUUAGGUGUCCAGCCUUUAACUUUUAUCUCUUUGGACAAAUAAGUAAUACGGUCUUGUUCUCCUUUGGUAAAAUUCCAGGAGAUGAUAUAAGAUACACGUUUUUUAAUAAAAAAUUUACACAUUUGAAUGUGUUCCGGAAGGGUUAGGCAUCCUUCAUUUGCACAGAACUCUGC